GCCUCCUUAGCUCAGUUGGUAGAGCGACGCAUUCGUAAUGCGUAGGUCGCAGGUUCGAGUCCCGUAGGAGGCU
rnacentral:tRNA from 4 species